rnacentral:rRNA from 1 species
GACGAACGCUGGCGGCGUGCUUAACACAUGCAAGUCGAACGGCAAGGCCCUGCUUUUGUGGGGUGCUCGAGUGGCGAACGGGUGAGUAACACGUGAGUAACCUGCCCUUCACUUUGGGAUAACUUCAGGAAACUGGGGCUACUACCGGAUAGCAGCCCCUGCUGCAUGGAGGGGGUUGGAAAGUUUCGGCGGUUGGGGAUGGACUCGCGGCUUAUCAGCUUGUUGGUGGGGUAGUGGCUUACCAAGGCUUUGACGGGUAGCCGGCCUGAGAGGGUGACCGGCCACAUUGGGACUGAGAUACGGACCAGACUCCUACGGGAGGCAGCAGUGGGGAAUAUUGCACAAUGGGCGGAAGCCUGAUGCAGCAACGCCGCGUGCGGGAUGACGGCCUUCGGGUUGUAAACCGCUUUCGCCUGUUACGAAGCGUGAGUGACGGUAAUGGGUGAAGAAGCACCGGCUAACUAUGUG